rnacentral:tRNA from 2 species
GGCCCCUUCGUCUAGUGGCCAAGGACGUCGGGUUCUCAGCUCGAAGACAGGGGUUCGACUCCCCUAGGGGCUACCA